ACCUACGGGGGGCAGCAGUGGGGAAUAUUGCACAAUGGGGGAAACCCUGAUGCAGCGACGCCGCGUGAAGGAAGAAGUAUUUCGGUAUGUAAACUUCUAUCAGCAGGGAAGAAAAUGACGGUACCUGACUAAGAAGCCCCGGCUAACUACGUGCCAGCAGCCGCGGUAAUACGUAGGGGGCAAGCGUUAUCCGGAUUUACUGGGUGUAAAGGGAGCGUAGGCGGUGAUGCAAGUCAGAAGUGAAAGUCCGCAGCUCAACUGCGGGACUGCUUUUGAAACUGUUUGACUA
rnacentral:rRNA from 1 species